AUAUGGAAUGGUGAUGGGGUUCACCUUUAACCGCUUAUUUUAAGCUGAUGACUCCUGCACAAUA
rnacentral:ncRNA from 2 species